rnacentral:rRNA from 1 species
AUUGAACGCUGGCGGCAUGCCUUACACAUGCAAGUCGAACGGCAGCACGGACUUCGGUCUGGUGGCGAGUGGCGAACGGGUGAGUAAUGUAUCGGAACGUACCUUUCAGUGGGGGAUAACGUAGCGAAAGUUACGCUAAUACCGCAUAUUCUGUGAGCAGGAAAGCAGGGGAUCGCAAGACCUUGCGCUGAUUGAGCGGCCGAUAUCAGAUUAGCUAGUUGGUGAGGUAAGGGCUCACCAAGGCGACGAUCUGUAGCGGGUCUGAGAGGAUGAUCCGCCACACUGGAACUGAGACACGGUCCAGACUCCUACGGGAGGCAGCAGUGGGGAAUUUUGGACAAUGGGGGCAACCCUGAUCCAGCCAUGCCGCGUGAGUGAAGAAGGCCUUC